rnacentral:rRNA from 1 species
AUAGGUGAAAUUAGUUAAUUAAAAUAAAAGUAAGAUUGAGGCUAAAAAGAUUAAGAGAUAAACUAGGAUUAGAUACCCUAUUAUACUUAAUUUAAAAGUUUAAAGCUAAAAUAUUAAUAGUUAUGUUCUUAAAAUUUAGAGAAUUUGGCGGUGUUUUAGUCUGUUUAGAGGAACCUGUUUCGUAAAUGAUACACCUCAAAAUAUCUUACUUGAGUUUGUAUACCGUCAUUAUUAGAUAAUUUUUAUAGAAAAAAUUAUUACAAUAAGUUUUUUAGUAUAUUAGAUCAAGGUGCAGCUUAUAGGUAAGUGAAAAUGGGUUACAAUAAUAUUUAUUUAUAACGGAUUAAGUUUUAUGAAGGUGGAUUUAAUUGUAUAUAAGUUUAAUAAGCUUGUGUGAUAUUAGCUCUAAAUUAUGUACAUAUUGCCCGUCGCUUUC